rnacentral:tRNA from 1 species
GCCCGGAUGGUGGAAUCGGUAGACACAAGGGAUUUAAAAUGUGCGGGUUCAAGUCCCGCUCCGGGUACCA